UACGUAGGGGGCGAGCGUUGUCCGGAUUUAUUGGGCGUAAAGAGCUCGUAGGCGGUUCGGCAAGUCGACGGUGAAAUCUCCACGCUCAACGUGGAGGGGUCCGUCGAUACUGCCGUGACUCGAGUCCGGUAGGGGAGUGUGGAAUUCCCGGUGUAGCGGUGAAAUGCGCAGAGAUCGGGAGGAACACCCGUAGCGAAGGCGGCACUCUGGGCCGGUACUGACGCUGAGACGCGAAAGCGUGGGGAGCGAACAGG
rnacentral:rRNA from 1 species